CUUCUGUUCGUUGUGUUUGUUCCAGCGGCGGUGGGAAUGGAUUUGAGAUCUCGCGAUUGUUGGGACUUUAGAAGUUCCAGUGGAAAAUGGCGCCCGUUGUGACGGGGAAGUUUGGUGAGCAAGCUCCACCGCAGCGCCUGACGAGAGAGGCCAUGAGAAACUACCUGAAGGAGAGGGGAGACCAGACCUUACUCAUACUACACGCUAAAGUGGCACAGAAGUCUUAUGGCAACGAGAAGAGGUCUGUAGAG